AAUCAACGCUGGCGGCGUGCCUCAGACAUGCAAGUCGAACGAUUAAAGCUCUCUUCGGAGAGUGUAUAGAGUGGCGCACGGGUGAGUAACACGUAAGUAAUCUACCUUUGAGUGGGGAAUAACAGUCGGAAACGGCUGCUAAUACCGCAUAACGCAGCGGCACCGCAAGGUGACAGUUGUUAAAGGAGCAAUCCGCUUAAAGAGGAGCUUGCGGCAGAUAGCUUGUUGGUAAGGUAACGGCUUACCAAGGCUACGAUCUGUAUCCGGUCUAAGAGGACGGUCGGACACACUGACACUGAAUAACGGGUCAGACUCCUACGGGAGGCAGCAGUCGGGAAUUUUGGGCAAUGGGCGAAAGCCUGACCCAGCAACGCCGCGUGAAGGAUGAAGUAUUUCGGUAU
rnacentral:rRNA from 1 species